GUCCAAUACGUCAUGUCCCAAAACAGCUGCAGCCUCCUUAGUUGGAGCAACGGUUCUUGUCAUUGUUUGUAGCGCCGACAUACUGUUCUUCUGAAUCCUAUUUUCUAUUUUAACUCUUGGCUUCUCAUGUCGCUAUUCAUAUCUCAUAGAGCCGUGUCUGGUAGCUGAAUAUAAAGAGGCAACACUGUGUGGGGUUCCUCAAACAUAGCUAGCAACAGCUAGCAAUUCCAAGCUACUCUGGGAAUUGCUGUUGCAGCUAUGGCGUGGGUGGGACACGGAGCUCCGUUUCAUACAAACGAUAAGCAGAAUAGCGACGCAACUUCGCCGGUGACAGGUUUCUCUGGUGUCCAUCCCAACCAACAGACACCAUCGUCCCUCCUUUGUGACUGCCCUAUGGCAUCUCUUUGCCAAACCCAGCAGCGUUGUGUGAAGGCCUCCAUCGUCUCCAGUUGGAGGCUGGCGGAAGCGCAGGACCAACUGUGCUCUUUGGGGGUCCACAGCUCCGAGUCGCUGGAACAGGAACGUGCUCGGACCCUCGCCUGCCCGACAGAACUCACAAACACAGAGGAGGAGUGGCGUCGCAAGGAGAGCAUGCUGGGAAGUCUGGAACCUAGCCGCAGUCCUGUCCUCGGUGCCACUGGAAGUUGGGACGUUUUUGAUAAGAGUAUCAUUAAUUGUCAGGAUCAGCCUGUGGAAAUGGAUCAGGAAAACUGCAAAACAUUUCUUCAGAAGUAUGAACAAGAGCUCAGGCAUUUUGGUAUGUUACGGAGAUGGGACGACAGUCAGCGCUUCCUCUCACACAUGCCGCAGCUCAUCUGUGAGGAAACGGCAAAUUUUUUAGUCCUGUGGUGCAUUCGAUUACAGCAAGAAGGGAAAGAAGCAUUGUUGGAUCAGGUGGCGCAUCAAGCGGUGGUUAUGCAAUUUAUCUUAGAGAUGGCCUCAAAUUCUCAACAGGAUCCCCGAGGUUGCUUCAGGCAGUUCUUCCACAAAGCCAAAGAGGGACAGGACGUCUACCUUGAAGUCUUCAGUGCAGAACUUGAGGUCUUCAAACAGAGAGUUAAAGAAUAUGCAGCUAAAUGUAGAAAUGAUGCUUUGAACGUUGAGCAGCAGAAUGAUGGCAGAAGCUAUAGACCUAACACCAGAGGAACAACAGACUUUACAUCACAGGCAGAGGAAUGAUUACAGAGAUCAGCGCUGAGGCUCCCGUCUCGGACCGUCGCCAUCUGUUAGAGGACGACGAAGAGCCUCAAUAAAAGGAGGAUGCUGAAUACAAGAUGAAGCACUGUUUAGAGGCUGAACUAUGGACAAGUACAGGCAAAUGGAAAAAGGAGGACACUACAGAAACGGAAGACAUCCGGAUGAUGGAGAUCUCAUAAAGAUUGUUUGCUCGACCCCUGCUUUUCUCCCAUCUCAGUCACCUCUCUAUGUACGAGCAGUCUGAGUUUGCAAGCCUACAUCCAGCACUCCAGGCUGAAACGCCUCUGCAUAGCAGGAAUAAAUGGAGACAUGAUCAGUGUUUGUGUUGCAUCUUGCAGCAGAACUAAGAGGAAAUAUGUUGCUGAUGACAAACGUUUUUUAAAAAUUGCCUUUACCAUUCGGCCCCUGCUGCAGUGUGUUUUGCCAGCUAGGAAAUGCGUAUGUUGUGCCAUAGUGUAAACUUUUCUCUUUAAAGAUGGAACUGAUCUUUUGCACAUUUUGUUCGGAAAGCAAAAAGGAUCCAAAAAAAGGGCAAAUUUGUGGGGCAAAAGGUAGGUGAAACAAAUGCAAUACCCGAGUCAGAACCAGGUUCAGAGAAACAAUGUUGAAGUCUAAGAGAACCUUAUCUUAAAGAUCUGAAGCUUUGUGGUGUGUUUUAGUUGAAAUAUGGCUGGUAGCUAAUAAUGUGGGGGAAAAUGCUUUAUAAUUAGGUUUAUUAUUAGCUUGUUUGUAGACAAAUCUGUAUGUCUAGGAGUUUCCCAGCUACCUGUACCUUAUUGGUAUUCACAGCAUCAUAUUAUAUAUUACAAAUCAUGUGCAGUAUCGGCCUUCUCUAACUUCUCUUAAACAGUCAGAUGUUUUUGCAUUAGAAUCAUCUGCAAGGAGCAGCUAAAGGGAACAUGUUAAAUGGAGCAGUUUUUGCUGUAAUGACCAGAGGAAAAAUAAAUAAUGUGAUUGCA